GGUUCCUACGGGGGGCAGCAGUGGGGGAUAUUGCACAAUGGGGGAAACCCUGAUGCAGCGACGCCGCGUGAGUGAAGAAGUAUUUCGGUAUGUAAAGCUCUAUCAGCAGGGAAGAAAAAAGACGGUACCUGACUAAGAAGCCCCGGCUAACUACGUGCCAGCAGCCGCGGUAAUACGUAGGGGGCAAGCGUUAUCCGGAUUUACUGGGUGUAAAGGGAGCGUAGACGGCAAUACAAGUCGGAAGUGAAAGACCCGGGCUUAACCUGGGAACUGCUUUGGAAACUGUA
rnacentral:rRNA from 1 species